rnacentral:lncRNA from 1 species
GUUUUUAUACGACCGCAAAAAUUGAAAAAUUUUUUGUCGUAUAUUGGUAUCACGUUGGCGUCAGCGUCAUCGUCCAUCGUUGGAAUACUUUUGGUUUUCGCACUAUAACUUUAGUUUAAGUGAAUAGAAAUCUAUGAAAUUUAAACACAAGGUUUAUAACCACAAAAGGAAGGUUGGGAUUGAUUUUGGAAGUUUUGGUCCCAACAGUUUAGGAAUUAGGGGCCACAAAGGGCCCAAAUAAGCAUUUUCUUAGUUUUCGCACUAUAACUUUAGUUUAAGUGAAUAGAAAUCUAUGAAAUUUUGACACAAGGUUUAUGACCACAAAAGAAAGGUUGGGAUUGAUUUUUGGUUUUGGUUCCAACUGUUUAGGAAUUAGGGGCCAAAAAAGGGCCCAAAUAAGCAUUAUUCUUGGUUUUCGCACAAUAACUUUAGUAUAAGUAAAUAGAAAUCAAUGAAAUUUAAACACAAGGUUUAUGAACACAAAAGGAAGGUUGGGAUUGAUUUUGGGAGUUGAGAUCCCAACAGUUUAGGAAUUAGGAGUUUAGCAUUUUUCUUAGUUUUCGCACCAUAACUUUAGUAUAAGAAAAUAGAAAUCUAUGAAAUUUAAACACAAGGUUUAUGACCAUAAAAGGAAGGUUGGGAUUGAUUUUGGGAGUUGAGGUCCCAACAGUUUAGGAAUUAGGGGCCAAAAAAGGGGCCCAAAUAAGCAUUAUUCUUGGUUUUCGCACCAUAACUUUAGUAUAAGUAAAUAGAAAUCUAUGAAAUUUGAACACAAGGUUUAUGACCAUAAAUGGAAGGUUGGGUUUGAUUUUGGGAGUUUUGGUCCCAACAGUUUAGGAAUAAGGGGCCCAAAGGGUCCAAAAUUAAACUUUGUUUGAUUUCAUCAAAAAUUGAAUAAUUGGGGUUCUUUGAUAUGCCGAAUCUAACUGUGUAUGUAGAUUCUUAAUUUUCGGUCCCGUUUUCAAAUUGGUCUACAUUAAGGUCCAAAGGGUCCAA